GUCCCUGCUCCUGCUCCUGCUGCUGGCAGUCUUCCCUUUUGUGUUCUUCCAAGGAGUGGGUCCAGCCACAUUAUGCAUGGUCUGCAACAAUUUUAAGAGAGGUCAUUGUUUGAGGGGCAAGGGCAAUUGCACCAUGGAACAAGGUCCUGGCUGCAGAACCAGAGAUUUCUUCAUUUUCACGGAGCGAGAUGGGUGGCGCUACAACCACACUGAACUGGACUGCUCUGAUCAUUGCCUACCUGU